rnacentral:rRNA from 1 species
AGAACGAACGCUGGCGGCGUGGAUAAGACAUGCAAGUCGAACGGAACAGCUUGUAGCAAUACCGGCUGUUCAGUGGCGAACGGGUGCGUAACACGUGGGCAACAUGCCUGAAAGCGCGGGAUAGCCCGGGGAAACCCGGAUUAAUACCGCAUGUGACGCCGGAGGGAUUCCCGUCCAUCGUCAAAGGUGGGACCGCAAGGCCUGCCGCUUUCAGAUUGGCCCGCGCCCUAUCAGCUUGUUGGUGAGGUAACGGCUCACCAAGGCCUGGCGACGGGUA